UAAUGGUUCUUCGAUGGAAAUUUAAAGCCGAGGUGGAUUAGAAUGAAUAGAAGUACCUGCGUACAAUAAAAGAGAAAAAUGUCUCCAUUCUGCUAAGAGAGAGACAGAUAAAAACCUACGGGUUCAUUGACCCCUAGAAAUAAGCGCAAGCUUUAAUAGGGUCUAACAUUUAAGCAUAGGCGAAUCCUCAAGAAGUUCCUAAGAGCCUGAGGACUUUUAUUUUAAAGGCAAGAAAACUAUGGGUUCUUGAACGAUCGGGUGAAAAGUGAAGGCAGAAGAUAAAAUUAUACUCUAUAAUCUGAACUGAAAUGUAGAAUUGGGUUGAAAGGGUUAAAGCCUUCAUGUGACCAUUAAAAUACCCUAAAAAAACAGUACUGCAAAAAACAGUACUGCACACUAAAGGAUGUCCAAUGUUAUUCAAGCCUGCGCAGACCUGAUUUUAAAUACUUGAGCAGCAUGUAUUAGGCACAAUGGACUUGACCACCUUAUAAUCCCCAGGUUUUCAAUCGAUAGAACCGAUAAUUGAUAUUAAAGCCGCAUUGUCACCAGUUUACUUCCAGUCGAUUACAUUAUAAUCUCCGAUGAUUUUUAACGGAAAACACGAAAAAUAUUUCAAAAUAUUAAAAGCAGUGUGUAUAUUGCAAGUUUCUUCGAGGAUGUGAUUGAUAAUUUAGAGCCGAUGGCAUGUUAAAUAUCUCGGAUUCUAAUAGAUUCUUUUGUCUUUUAACGGUUGAGGUUUCCGUCGGACCUUCGGAAGUGAACUGGUGACAUUGCGGCUUUAAUUGACUCUAAUCAAUAAAAUUAACUAAUUUUAUCCGCAUUCGAUAAUAAUCGUUAGCAAAAAAAUUGUGAGGUCAAUGGAUAAUUAUGAUUUUUCGAUUAACCUGAUCGAUUUAUAUCGAUUUAUCGGUUAAAUUGGAAAAAAUAAAAGACAAUUCUGAGAGAUUAAACAAACGUUUUUUAAUCCAAAGUGCAAACAAAACGGGAAAAAUAAGGAACCAAGACCAAUUAGUAGUAGCCACAGUAGUUAUUGCCACAGCCGUCCAGAAUAAUGUUUAUGGAUGCCACACAAUUAACUUGUAGUAGUCCGUAAAUACCAACAGGGAAUCCAGGGUACAUAUUGUAUACUACACUACUUGAUUAUAUCGAUGUAAUAGAUAUAAUCGAUUGACUAAUUGGGAAGUAUUGUGUGAGUAUCAAUUAUUGAUUUUCUGAUCCAAUCGAUAUCAAUCAAUUAAGAUUAUCAAUUGAUUUUGAUUUCUCGAUUGGUUUUCCGACAUUGAUUUUUAUCGAUUGAACACACUGGGGUAUAAGGUACUUCAUACUUGCCAAACUUGAAAGCUAAAGACAAGAAAUUCUCAAUGUACUUUCCUGGGAGAUUACGGUAAAUGUAUUGGAAGUUUCCAUUUUUUGCCGGGAGAUGAAGGAUAAAAACCGAAAGUCUCCUGCAAAAACCGGGAAAGUUGGCAGGUAUGGUUCUUCCAUGCCAUAAAUAACUCCUAAUAAGCAUAUAAUAUCUGGCAUUAAAUAAACUGCAAUGCAUCAA